GUAUAACCUCCCGCGCGUACGCUAAAUUGGAUACGAUACAGAGAAGAUUAGCAUGGCCCCUGCGCAAGUAUAACCUCCCGAUCACAGCAUGUUCUGACCGUCCUU